UCUUUAACAGAGUAGUUUCAAUAGAGG
rnacentral:piRNA from 1 species